AUUGAACGCUGGCGGCAGGCUUAACACAUGCAAGUCGAGCGGAGACUUCGGUCUUAGCGGCGAACGGGUGAGGAAUGCCUGGGAAUCUGCCUGUUAGUGGGGGAUAACGAAUCGAAAGGUUCGCUAAUACCGCAUACGUCCUACGGGAGAAAGCAGGGGACCUUCGGGCCUUGCGCUAACAGAUGAGCCCAGGUCGGAUUAGCUAGUAGGUGGGGUAAAGGCUCACCUAGGCGACGAUCCGUAGCUGGUCUGAGAGGAUGAUCAGCCACACUGGAACUGAGACACGGUCCAGACUCCUACGGGAGGCAGCAGUGGGGAAUAUUGGACAAUGGGCGAAAGCCUGAUCCAGCCAUGCCGCGUGUGUGAAGAA
rnacentral:rRNA from 1 species